UUCUUCACGUCCUUCUCACUGGCAGCAACAAAAAGCACCUGCUAGCCUGCGCUUUCGUCCUGGCCAGCGCGGGAUGAAGACACGUCGAGCAGCAGGUACAAGGGAAUCGAUCCCAAGCGUCGAUUUACCCUUUCCUCUUUUGGAAUGGUUUGAAAUCACAAGGAAAAGAUGUUUAGCUCGAAGGAUGCAAGGUUUUUUUUUUGAAUUUCGAAUUGGAGUUGGGCCUUGUGAAUUCGGAUUUUUGAUCCUUUUUCCCCAUUUCCGAACCCUAUUUUCCC
rnacentral:lncRNA from 1 species